rnacentral:rRNA from 1 species
GAUGAACGCUGGCGGCGUGCUUAACACAUGCAAGUCGAACGAUGAAGCUGGAGCUUUCUCUGGUGGUUUAGUGGCGAACGGGUGAGUAACACGUGAGCAACCUGCCCCUGACUCUGGGAUAACAGCCGGAAACUGCUGCUAAUACCGGAUAUGCACCAUUAAUGCAUGUUCUGUGGUGGGAAAGAUUUUUCGGUUGGGGAUGGGCUCGCGGCCUAUCAGCUUGUUGGUGGGGUAUUGGCUCACCAAGGCGUCGACGGGUAGCCGGCCUGAGAGGGUGACCGGCCACACUGGGACUGAGACACGGCCCAGACUCCUACGGGAGGCAGCAGUGGGGAAUAUUGCACAAUGGGCGAAAGCCUGAUGCAGCAACGCCGCGUGAGGGAUGACGGCCUUCGGGUUGUAAACCUCUUUUGGCAGGGAAGAAGCGAGAGUGACGGUACCUGGUGAAAAAGCGCCGGCUAACUACGUG